GCCUCGAUAGUGUAAUGGAUCAGCACGACAGACCGGAUAUCUGUAUUUGUGGGUUCGAGUCCCGCCUGAUGUU
rnacentral:tRNA from 1 species